rnacentral:rRNA from 1 species
UACGUAGGUGGCAAGCGUUGUCCGGAUUUACUGGGUGUAAAGGGCGUGCAGCCGGAGAGACAAGUCAGAUGUGAAAUCCGCAGGCUCAACCUGCGAACUGCAUUUGAAACUGUUUCCCUUGAGUAUCGGAGAGGUCAUCGGAAUUCCUAGUGUAGCGGCGAAAUGCGUAGAUAUUAGGAGGAACGCCAGUGGCGAAGGCGGCCUGCUGGGCUUUUACUGACGCUGAGGCUCGAAAGUGUGGGGAGCAAACAGG